UGGAGAAGUGAGAAGGACAGACGUGAAAAAUAAGAACAGGACCCUCAGCCAGGCAAAGCAGGACUCUUCCCAUGGCCAAAGCAGGACUCUCACAUACUGUAUAACAUCUACACAUCCCAUUUUUCAGAUUUUUGUCUUUUUUUAAGUGGACCAAAUUACUUAUUUAAAAAUAAAGCGUGCAUAUCUAAUGUUG